GCGAAAUUCCUUGUCGGGUAAGUUCCGACCUGCACGAAUGGUGUAACGAUGGCCACGCUGUCUCCACCCAAGACUCAGUGAAAUUGAAAUCGCAGUUAAGAUGCUGUGUAUCCGCGGCUAGACGGAAAGACCCCGUGAACCUUUACUAUAGCUUCACACUGGACUUUGACCUUAUUUGUGUAGGAUAGGUGGGAGACUUUGAAGCGUGAUCGCCAGAUUGCGUGGAGUCAUCCUUGAAAUACCACCCUGGUAAUGUUGAGGUUCUAACUUAGCUCCUGAAACGGGAGUGAGGACAGUGUGUGGUGGGUAGUUUGACUGGGGCGGUCUCCUCCUAAAGAGUAACGGAGGAGCACGAAGGUACCCUAAGAGCGGUCGGAAAUCGCUCGUUUAGUGUAAUGGCAUAAGGGUGCUUGACUGCGAGAGUGACAACUCGAGCAGGUGCGAAAGCAGGUCAUAGUGAUCCGGUGGUUCUGAAUGGAA
rnacentral:rRNA from 1 species